rnacentral:rRNA from 1 species
UUGGAGGGCAAGUCUGGUGCCAGCAGCCGCGGUAAUUCCAGCUCCAAUAGCGUAUAUUAAAGUUGUUGCAGUUAAAAAGCUCGUAGUUGAAUUUCAGGCCUGGCUGGACGGUCCGCCCUUCGGGUGAGUACUGUCUGUGGUCGGGUCCUACCUUCUGGCGAAGCGUCAUGGCCUUAACCGGCCGCGGCGGGGAACCAGGACUUUUACUGUGAAAAAAUUAGAGUGUUCAAAGCAGGCAAUCGCUUGGAUACAUUAGCAUGGAAUAAUGGAAUAGGACAAUGGUUCUAUUUGUUGGUUUCUAGGACCGUUGUAAUGAUUAAUAGGGAUAGUUGGGGGCAUUAGUAUUCAAUUGUCAGAGGUGAAAUUCUUGGAUUUAUUGAAGACUAACUACUGCGAAAGCAUUUGCUAAGGAUGUUUUCAUUAAUCAAGAACGAAAGUCAGGGGAUCGAAGACGAUCAGAUACCGUCGUAGUCUUAACCAUAAACUAUGCCGACUAGGAAUCGGGCGAUGUUGAAAAAAUGACGCGCUCGGCACCCUAUGGGAAACCAAAG